UAAACUGCAAGUCGAGGGGCAGCAUGGUCUUAGCUUGCUAAGGCCGAUGGCGACCGGCGCACGGGUGAGUAACACGUAUCCAACCUGCCGUCUACUCUUGGACAGCCUUCUGAAAGGAAGAUUAAUACAAGAUGGCAUCAUGAGUCCGCAUGUUCACAUGAUUAAAGGUAUUCCGGUAGACGAUGGGGAUGCGUUCCAUUAGAUAGUAGGCGGGGUAACGGCCCACCUAGUCUUCGAUGGAUAGGGGUUCUGAGAGGAAGGUCCCCCACAUUGGAACUGAGACACGGUCCAAACUCCUACGGGAGGCAGCAGUGAGGAAUAUUGGUCAAUGGGCGCAGGCCUGAACCAGCCAAGUAGCGUGAAGGAUGACUGCCCUAUGGGUUGUAAACUUCUUUUAUAAAGGAAUAAAGUCGGGUAUGGAUACCCGUUUGCAUGUACUUUAUGAAUAAGGAUCGGCUAACUCCGUGCCAGCAGCCGCGGUAAUACGGAGGAUCCGAGCGUUAUCCGGAUUUAUUGGGUUUAAAGGGAGCGUAGAUGGAUGUUUAAGUCAGUUGUGAAAGUUUGCGGCUCAACCGUAAAAUUGCAGUUGAUACUGGAUAUCUUGAGUGCANUUGAGGCAGGCGGAAUUCGUGGUGUAGCGGUGAAAUGCUUAAAUAUCACGAAGAACUCCGAUUGCGAAGGCAGCCUGCUAACUGCAACUGACAUUGAGGCUCGAAAGUGUGGGUAUCAAACAGGAUUAGAUACCCUGGUAGUCCACACGGUAAACGAUGAAUACUCGCUGUUUGCGAUAUACUGCAAGCGGCCAAGCGAAAGCGUUAAGUAUUCCACCUGGGGAGUACGCCGGCAACGGUGAAACUCAAAGGAAUUGACGGGGGCCCGCACAAGCGGAGGAACAUGUGGUUUAAUUCGAUGAUACGCGAGGAACCUUACCCGGGCUUAAAUUGCAGAUGAAUUACGGUGAAAGCCGUAAGCCGCAAGGCAUCUGUGAAGGUGCUGCAUGGUUGUCGUCAGCUCGUGCCGUGAGGUGUCGGCUUAAGUGCCAUAACGAGCGCAACCCUUGUUGUCAGUUACUAACAGGUUCCGCUGAGGACUCUGACAAGACUGCCAUCGUAAGAUGUGAGGAAGGUGGGGAUGACGUCAAAUCAGCACGGCCCUUACGUCCGGGGCUACACACGUGUUACAAUGGGGGGUACAGAGGGCCGCUACCACGCGAGUGGAUGCCAAUCCCAAAAACCUCUCUCAGUUCGGACUGGAGUCUGCAACCCGACUCCACGAAGCUGGAUUCGCUAGUAAUCGCGCAUCAGCCACGGCGCGGUGAAUACGUUCCCGGGCCUUGUACACACCGCCCGUCAAGCCAUGGGAGCCGGGGGUACCUGAAGUGCUUAACCGCGAGGAGCGCCCUAGAGUNUNCC
rnacentral:rRNA from 1 species